rnacentral:rRNA from 1 species
CCUACGGGAGGCAGCAGUGAGGAAUAUUGGUCAAUGGCCGGGAGGCUGAACCAGCCAAGUCGCGUGAGGGAAGACGGCCCUACGGGUUGUAAACCUCUUUUGUCAGGGAGCAAGGUGCAGGUCGGGACCUGCUGGGAGAGUACCUGAAGAAAAAGCAUCAGCUAAAUCCGUGCCAGCAGCCGCGGUAAUACGGAGGAUACGAGCGUUAUCCGGAUUUAUGGGGUUUAAAGGGUGUGCAGGCGGAGGCACAAGGCAGCGGUAAAAUGGCGGGGCUCAACCCCGCCCCGCCGUUGAAACUGGUUCCCUUGAGUGCGCGAAGGGUAGGCGGGAGGCGUGGUGUAGCGGUGAAAUGCAUAGAUAUCACGCAGAACUCCGAUCGCGAAGGCAGCCUACCGGCGCGCAACUGACGCUCAUGCACGAAAGCGUGGGUAUCGAACAGGAUUAGAUACCCUGGUAGUC